rnacentral:rRNA from 1 species
GACGAACGCUGGCGGCGUGCUUAACACAUGCAAGUCGAACGGAAAGGCCCUGCUUUUGUGGGGUGCUCGAGUGGCGAACGGGUGAGUAACACGUGAGUAACCUGCCCUUGACUUUGGGAUAACUUCAGGAAGCUGGGGCUAAUACCGGAUAGGAGCUCCUGCUGCACGGUGGGGGUUGGAAAGUUUCGGCGGUUGGGGAUGGACUCGCGGCUUAUCAGCUUGUUGGUGGGGUAGUGGCUUACCAAGGCUUUGACGGGUAGCCGGCCUGAGAGGGUGACCGGCCACAUUAGGACUGAGAUACGGCCCAGACUCCUACGGGAGGCAGCAGUGGGGAAUAUUGCACAAUGGGCGGAAGCCUGAUGCAGCAACGCCGCGUGCGGGAUGACGGCCUUCGGGUUGUAAACCGCUUUCGCCUGUGACGAAGCGGGAGUGACGGUAAUGGGUAAAGAAGCACCGGCUAACUACGUG